rnacentral:rRNA from 1 species
CUACGGGGUGCUGCAGUGAGGAAUUUUGCGCAAUGGGGGCAACCCUGACGCAGCAACGCCGCGUGAGUGAAGAAGGCCUUUGGGUCGUAAAGCUCUGUCAACUGGGAAGAAGUUACGGAUAUUGAAUAGAUAUUUGUAUUGACGGUACCAGUGGAGGAAGCGCCGGCUAACUCCGUGCCAGCAGCCGCGGUAACACGGGGGGCGCAAGCGUUAUUCGGAAUUAUUGGGCGUAAAGGGCGCGUAGGCGGUUUUGCCGGUCAGAUGUGAAAGCCCGGGGCUCAACCCUGGACGUGCAUUUGAAACAGCAAGACUUGAGUACGGGAGAGGAAAGCGGAAUUCCUGGUGUAGAGGUGAAAUUCGUAGAUAUCAGGAGGAAUACCGAUGGCGAAGGCAGCUUUCUGGACCGAUACUGACGCUGAGGCGCGAAGGCGUGGGGAGCGAACGGGAUUAGAUACCCGCGUAGUC